rnacentral:lncRNA from 1 species
AAAGAAAGAGAUAAAACACACAUUUAUUCCUUACGUGAUGGAACUGAGUGGGACUCUUGCUAUAUAAAGGCCAAGAGACACUCCAUCACUCCUCACACAUCAAAUUACUUUUCUUCCUUUCUAAUGAAACAGUAUCUGCUGCUAUUCUUUCAAAUCUAGGGUUCUUUCUCAUGUCUUCUGUCGGCCGGAGAGAAUUGUAGAUCCAGGUUAACUAUUAAGGGUAACAAAAGGGAGGUGACAGAAGAGAGUGAGCACAGAUGGUGUUUUCUUGCAUUGAUAUAUGUAUAUGCUUGAAGCUAUGCGUGCUCACUCUCUAUCUGUCACCCCCACCACUCUCUUCUUCUCUCUCUAGAUUUCUUUUUGUUUUGUGUUGCGCGCUUAUGUGUUUUUCAGCAUCUGAUAUUACUGGAAUGGUAUUCCGGGUCGAUUUCAUUGAAAAAAUUAGACCGUAUAUAUAAGGUCAAGGAUUACUUUAUAUAUAUAUAGUAGCUGUUGAAUCCCAUGGGUUACUUGGUGCAUUUAUUUUUUUAAAUCUCCUUAGUAAAAAUUCUGGCUCCGUAUCGAUAAUACUCAGUCAUAUAUCGGAUGAAUCUGAAUUAAUUGCUUGUUCAGGCUAAUUCAUUCAUGCUGAUUUGGAUUUUAUUGAUGGUGGGUCUGGUAAUUAAUAAGUUCUCCAUCAUUUUUUUGUAUAUUUGUGUGCUACAAUGGAACGUUUUCCACCUGUGUGCAUUUCUCCGAGGUUUUCUGCAUAAACUGAUUCACCUCAUGUUUCAGUGGUUUAUAUAUAAUUAUUACCUUUCCAGUUUAAAUGGAUUUAUCCCAAUCUGUCUCUUGUAGUUGCGUUUCAAGAAAAUCGAUUACCUAGUGUAGUUUAGGAUUUUCUAUAAGAUUUAGUAUUGUCCUUACUACGGUACUACGUAGUUCUUUAAUAAAUUUCUACUGUGUUAUUUACGAAAUUUGUGCACACAAACAUAAAACGGAACCAUUUAGUAGUUCUUUAACGUUUUAAAAUAUCUUGAUCAAUGAUCAACAUCAUUCAAGGUUAGUUUAUGAACACGUUUCAGUGUCUUCCACCUUAAUGAUCCCAAAGUUACAAAGAACAUGUCUUAUUAAUCCAACGGAAAAGUUGAGGCAAGGACUUGUUGAUCUUAUUUAGAGAUUAUAAAUUUGACUUCUGUGGCUGAUGUAUAUGUUUCGAGUUUUGUUUUUAUUGGAACAGUUGUAUUGCUUCUAUAUUUAUUUUUAUUUUUAUUUUCCAUCGGAAACUGAUUACUGUUGUUUUGAUUUAAACAAGUACAGUAAGAAGGGAACCAUGGAUUAAUUUCUCGUUGAGAUUUAAUCCAUCAUUUUUCAAGCUUCCGUCUUUGGUUGAUUCAAGUUUUAAUUAGUAGGAUACAGCUCAAUCGGGUUUCUUUGUUCCUCUCUUAUCCAGUUAUCCCUUUUUUCUGUUCUGCUAUCAAGUUAUUGUAGCUUGCUGUGAAGCCAUUUUUUAUACAAGUUUAUCUACUAGUUUUGUGCCUGUUUUAUGAAUUGACCGACCAUUAUCGCUUGCUUCCAUUAGCCAGAAACCUGGGUACUUAUCUCAAGAAUUUGGGGCAACAUAUUCUUUUAGAUUGUGUUAGAAUCCCUUACAUGUUGAGGGUACGAGGUAGUGAUAUCAUUUCGUUUUCUUGAACAAUCCUCACUUCAUCAAUUAGUUUUCAUGAUUGAGUUAAAUCGAAUAUAUGUUUUUAUUGAUAUGCUAUCACAACCAGACCAAUCUCUUUAUUUUUCUUGGUUAUUCGAUAUGUGCUCUCAUGUUAUAUUAUACACACUUCAAAUGUCUAAUCCUGGGCAUGCCGAGGAGGGGAAAGGUAUUAGAUUCCCACGUUAGUUGAGAACGUAUGAGCAGUGUGAACUUAUAUAUUCUUAAAAACAAUUCUCAACUCAUAAGCUAAUUGUUGGGGUUGAGAUAGACUCGAGAGCCAAGGUCAUUCAUUUUUUCUUCACAAAUUAUCAACUUUUUGCGAACUUCUAAGUUCUAGCAAUACUAGUUGAGGGUAACUAUUCCCAUGUUAUUUUGUGGUUGUGAUGAGCCGGUUGAUUUUAAGGUUAAUGGUGUUCUUUUCCCAGGUUAAUCAUGGAAACAUGUGUGUCCAUAGUCUGAAGUAGUUUACUCCUUUAUAUAUGCCCAUUAACCCACUCAUUUAAGGUUAAUCUUUUGCAUGGAAAACAUCUAAGUAGUUAUCCAUCUCAAGAUGAGUGUUCUCUUAUAUAUUUUGACUUACUUAGAGGCUCAGAUAGUGCAGCUGAAACAGCGAUGAGUUGUACUAUCAAAACAGCGUCGAGUUCUUUGUUCUUCUAUUUUGAAGAGUCGCCGAUGUUCUUGCUAAAUGGGGAGUAGAAGAGGGGGAAGCUAUCUUUUAUUCAUCUGCAAAUCUGCCCAAAACUGCAAUUGGAGCCUAUUUUCUUGACAAAGCUCAAAUGUCUCCGAUCAGGCAUAAACAAAGGAAGAAUUUUUUACAUGGUAUACACUGAUUCUUUUGUCUUUUGGUUACUGCACAUAGGAUUGGAUCCUUACUUGAUCUUUUUUGUAGUCUUCAGAUAAGGAGCAAUCCCAUAAGUAGUUUAUUUUUGUACAAUCAUAGAAGAAACAUCAAUAGCUGAUGGUAUUAAUUAAAUGUACGGGUAGCUCAAUUAGUAGAGGUUUGGUUUAUGUUCCCCUCUACAAUCGUGUUUGUUGUCUUUUUGAAGGUUAUGGAGGGAUAAGCCACCUAAAGGCAUUGAAUUUUAUUAAUAGAAAAGGAGUUGCGUAACUUAUAAUUUGUAGAAGGAUAUAAAAAAAAUUGAUUUACAAAAGUGUUUCACGGUUCAAACCCAACUGUCAAGGUAUUGUUCGCUUUAGUUUGACUUGGGCAAAGUCAAGAUUUUUGGGCCACAAUUUUGUCCCUUGGGCUUUAACUUAGGAGGCGGUUCAAUAGUUUGAGUUCUAAACUAGUACUUAUCUUUGCUCUAACUUAUUUUUCCCAUUCAAAUGUAGGAUUUGCCCAAGGCAAAGUUUAACAGAAAAUCUCAUUUCGUGGUCAAUCGCCUGUAGUCUAUUGGCGGUAUGAAGUAGAAAACGAAAGAACUGCUGCUUUAAAAAAUUUCAAGCAUUAAUCAAAUCUAACAUUAAAACUUUUCAUUAACAGUUGAACAAAUGCGGAAUGUUUGGGUGAACCAAAAAAGUUUGAAUAGAGCCAGAUCUAAGGGGCGGAAUUAAAAGCUUGAGUAAAUCCAGAUGUAACCUCGUUUUGCAGUGAGUAGUAAUUAUGAAUCCUGUAUACCAUAUGUAGGUCAUGACAUCUAUAGUGCAAGUGGCAUGGAUUGACUUUAAUUGGAGUAUAAUGUAGUGUCUAUCUUUAUAUCCCUUCUUUCUCGUGCCUUUGACGCUAAGAUUACAGAAUUUGUUGAAUCAGAAGCUUGUACUACUAUCCAAUAUGUAUGAAGCAAAAUUUAAAAAUUUUAUGUGGUGCUCAGUUUUGUCUCAUUUAUUGAAUUUGUACUCGCUUAAAGAAAAAUUAAUUGAUACCUAACUUUUUGAUAACUUCAGAUACAUACAUUUUUCUCAUCUUUUUUACUAUUAUGUUUUUCUUUUUUGUGCUUAUAGUUUCUUCUUUUUAGUUGUAAAAUGGGUUUGUUAAAUUUGUUGUUAUAAUUUGACGAUUGAGAUUUAAUCUUCAUGAUAUUUGAAAGUUAUGUUUCGAAUUUAGCUCAUGUGAGUAGAUUUGGGCAUUACAACAAGAACAAUAACAAUCCAGUAUAAUCCCACUAGUGAGGUCUGGGGAGGGUAGUGUGUACGCAGACCUUACCCCUACCCCGAAGGAGUAGACAUACGGUUUCCGGAAGACUCUCGGCUCAAAAAAAACAAAAAGGCAAAAGGAGACAAUAUUAGUAUCACUACAGAAAUCAUAGGAAAUAUAGGAACGUAGCAACAUGAAAUCUAGAAGAAAGAUGCAAAGCAAAAGCAAUAGCUAGUAAACAGGUCCUGCACUGAAAAACGAAAUAGUAAGACACAACAUUGCACUAGCUAUGUUAGACAAAAACCCUACCAGACUAGUCUCACAAUGGUACGAAGUAGGACAAGACUCAACUACCUCCUAACCUACAACCCUAAUACUCAGCUAGUAGAUUUGGGCAUUGAAUUGUUGAAAUUCGAAGAAAUUUUUUAUGUUUCAGAAAGUAAGAUUCGAAAUUUGAAGGAUAGAAGAACGUCAUAUUUGAUUUCUGAAGUUGCAUUGAAGAUAUUGAACUACUUCAAAUCCGAGCUGUAACGACCCAACCUGUCAUUUUGAGCUUUAAGGUUCCAUUCAGUGGUUCGAGGUCUUGAGUAGCUUCUUAUUGUGUAUUAUGACUUGCGUGCACGGUCGGAUUUGAUUUUCGGAUGUUUCAGGAUAAAUUUGGAUGAGUGAUUCUCACUUCAGAAGCUUAAGUUGAAAAUGUAGACAUGGAUUUGACUUUUCUAAAAAUGACCCCAAAAUGGCAUUUUGAUGGCUCUGAUAGGUUCGUAUCGUGAUUUUGGACUUGGGCGUAUGCCCGAAAUCAAUUUGUGUUAUUUUUUAGAAAGUUGUCAAUUUGAAAAAUUAGAAUUUUUACAUGUUUUAACUGUAGGUUGACUUUAUAGCUAUCGUGUUUGAAUUUCUAUUUCAAAACUUGUAAUAGGUCCGUUUUAUCAUUUGGAACUUGUCCACAAAGUUUGGUGUCAUUAUGAGUUGAUUUGAUAGGAAUCAGACACGCAAUUGUGUUUUUUUUUAAAUUCUUGAGUUUCAUGCUGAAUUCAUAUGUUUUGAGGUCCAAAUCGUGAUUUUAGAUAUUAUUUUGAUGAUGUGAUCGCGUGAGCGAGUUCGUGUUAUGUUUGUAGACUUGUGUUGGUAUUUGAUUUGGAGCUCCGAGGGCUUGGGUGAGUUUCGUACGCCUUUCAGAGUGUUUGGGAGAGUUUUAAUAUUACUAGUGUGAUCAGGUGUUGCAUGUCUCACAUUUGCGAGAUAUAUGUUACAUUUGCGAUAUUAAGCUAAGUCUGCCAUGUUUGCAUUUGCGAACACAGAGUUUGCAUUUGUGAUGGAAGGGGGUUCGGGUGAGCUGUUCGCAUUUGCGAAGUGUGUCUCAGAUUCGCAAUUGCAAACUAUUCAUCGCAUUUGCGAUGACAACACGAAUGGGAGGGCUUUCACUUUUGCGAUUGUUUCGUCACAUUUGUGGGUUUCACAUUUGCGAACCCCAGGUCGCAUUUGCGAUGCCUGCAACUGGACAAAAAGCUGAAGGACGGAAUUUUUUUGUCUCAAUUUCAUAUUUUGGAACCCUAGACUUGGUAUGAGGCGAUUUUGAGGAGGAGUUUUCAUCUACGAACUUUGGGUAAGUGAUUCUAAUCUAAAUCUAAUCAUAUUCCAUCAAUAUACCUUAGAUUUUAAUUAGCAUCAAAAUCAUGUGAAUCAAACUGAAAAUUUGUGAAGCUUUGUCAAGUUUUGAAAAAUAAGAUUUUGAGUUUUGAGAGUUGAUUUGAAUUCGAAUUUUGAAACUAAUCACAUAUAUGAACUUGUGGGGUCAUGGGUUGUCGGAAUCUACUAUUGGACCCGAUUUUUGACCGGACGAGCCUGAUGUUGACUUUUAAGAAAUUAUGUAAAGAACAUAGCUUUAUUCAUUAGAAUUGAUUUCUCUUGCAUUAUUUGAUGUUAUUAAAUCGAUUUUUGUUAGAUUUGUGCCGAGCGGAGGCGAAUUGUAGAAAAUGCUAUUUUUGAGUAUUGAUUGAGGGAGGUAAGUCUUGCCUAACAUUAUGUGGGGGAAUUACCCCGUAGGGAUUGGUUUGUUUGCACUAUUUGAACUACGUGAAAGACGUGUACACGAGGUGACGAGUGUGUACACGGCUCAUAUGUGAAAAUUUGACUGCCUUAGACUCUUAGGUUCUCAUGUACACUAAAAAUGAAGUUGUCUCAUCAUGUUAUAUCAUCCAUUACUAGAGUUACCCUUACAUGUCUUAUUUGAAGUUGAUUGGUUCAUAUUCUACCUUUAUUUCCAAAUAUACUCUUAUAUGCCUUAAUUGAAGUUGUUACCUCUUUUAUUGCCAUGUAUCUCUUUCGUAGUUGAUUAUCCUUAAUUGAAGUUAUUGUUAUCUCUUCCAUUGCUGACUUAUCCUUAUUUGGAAUCAUUGUUACCUGUUAUCUCUCCUAUUGUUGAGUUACUCUCAGUUCAUAUCUUUGUUACAUAGUAUCUCUCUCAUUGUUGAGUUAUUCUUGUUGAAACCAUUAUUACUUGUUAUGUCCUUCAUUGUGAACCCGUUAUCCCAUUUAUUUGUGUUUUGUAAUUCUUGUGUUAAUUUACUUGCCGUACUCUCGUGUAAUUGUUGUUGUUGUUGUACUCAGUGUUGUUGAGCCAAGGGCUUGUGUGGUUGUGGUAUUGGAAUAGUUUUGAGGAAAUAUUGUGGCAUACGGGCACAUGUGGUGCGAGUUGUUAUAUUGUAUUGUUAUGUUGUGGCACACGUGAUAUUGUUGAGAGGAUUGUCAGGGUGUUCGCACAUGAUUUAUCCAUGCUAUUGUUAUUAUAUAUAUAUAUAUCGUAAUAACUUCGUAUANNNNNNNNNNNNNNNNNNNNNNNNNUAUAUAUAUGAGAAUGUUAUUAUGCGUGUGCGGCGAGACAAAACGAGCAUUUACUUUAUUGUUGCGCACGUGGCGAGAUAAAGGGGCUAUGUCGGGGAUGAUGUGUGAUGAUUUGUGAUAGCCUGGGGGCAUUGAUAUUAAUGAUAUUUAUGUAGUGGUGUGCCUACGUUGAGUGAGUCAUGCAUUUUAAUUUUUGUUGUGUUGUUUCCUAUGUGCUAUUCGUUGUCUCUGCUCUUACUUGUUGAGUCGAGUAGUGAUAGAACACUUACACAAGCAUACACAUAAUUAAUCACUCAUAUCGGUUUAAGAAGAUGAAUUCUGGUAUGUAUUAAUUAUUUAUAUGUAUUCUUGUAUACUUGCCUUCUGUUUGAGAGUUGUACUAUUGACACGUGAGUUGUUCAUGUGACUAUGACGUAUUGUAAUUGCUAGCAUAUGAGUUGUCUGUGCGAAUAUAAGAUAUUGUCACUCUCUUAGCACGUGAGUUGUCCCUGCAGAUAUGAGGUACUAAUAGUGUUGACACUUGAGUUGUACGUGCGGUUAUGAACAUUAAUGUGGGCACAAAAUACCAAGUGAUUAGGGUUCGUGACUUGGAACCCACGAAUCGUGGUUAUGAGGCGCAAUACCUCGAGAAAAUUCUUGUAUAAAUCUUGUGUGAAGGUGGUUGUUUAUUGGGUUGUUACAUGUUCUCCCUUACUUGGUUUCACUGGACCUAAACUGUAUUCAGCUUACUUUAUGACAUUAUUGCCUGUUGUGCAUUGUUGAUAGUUGUUGCUUCUAGUUUUCUAUUGCCAGUAUUAUUUUGUUAUUAUUACCAUGCUUAGCUCUAUAUUGAUAUUGCUCCCUAUUAGUUUCACUUUCAUACUUGUACAUGUUAUUAAGACUAGUAGGUGUCUUAUCUGUCCCUCGUCAUUACUCCACUGAGGUUAGUCUUGAUACUUACUGGAUACUGCCAUAGUGUACUCAUGCUAUAUUUAUGUAUAUUUUUGUGCAGAUCCAGGUACUUCGGAGUUUGAUGAUCAUUAGCUAGCCGAUCGUGCAUUGCUGUGGAGACUCAAUGUAUGCAUGCCGUCGCGUUCGUAGUCCUAAG